UUGAUUUUUAAAGAUGUGCUGGCACUCCUUCACCGGUUUGCAUGUGCACUCUGCAAAAUCUCCUUCUCUUACCCCACUGUGCACACCCAAGUAGACAAACAGAGUUACAGAGCAAUCUGUGUAAUUCCUGAUUUGCCUAUGUUUUUAUCAAACACCAAUAACAAUAUCAGAAUGAUCUAUAUAGUAAGCUUUUAACAAGCUGAAAUUUAAUA
rnacentral:misc_RNA from 1 species